rnacentral:lncRNA from 1 species
AGAGCGAAGAGAUCAUGAUACACCUGAGAGAAAACUUGAACAAGGCACUGGAAUAAUUGAGAGGCGAACGAAGAGACAACAACUGAGAAGAAUUUGAGAAUGAAGCUGAAAGUUGAGAAAGAAGAAAUAUUCUGAAAUGACGGCCUUCGGAUGAUCGAGAAAUGAAAACAAAACUGAAAUGCACCGGAUAGAUAUGGAAAGUAAUUACUCAUGAUCAAAAACAAAUGAGAGGAUAGCACGAAGCUGAAACCCUGAACCUUCAAGAGAAUGGACCAAGAUUAAGAGAAGCACUUCUUCAGUCUUCAAGGCUGAGAAUGAUGACAAGAACACCACCAUGAAUUACUGAGAGACUAUGGAAUAAUGAAGAAAGAAAGGUCGAGCCAACGAUGAAAAUAAUUCAAAGUGAUCUUGGAGAAGGAAUAUGACUAAUGAAAAUCAUUCUUACGUCAUAAUGGAAAAGAAUUAGAGAUCUCUAGAAAACACUAGAAGAGCGAGGUAAGAUACUGGGAAAACCCGUGGGUUAUGGGCCCACUCAAAAGGAACAUCGUUGAAU